rnacentral:lncRNA from 1 species
CUACAAUCAACACAGAUAACACUGCUAAAACAUUCAUAUAAAUACUAAUAUAUGCAGAUUCACUCCAUUAGAAAAUUCAUCUAUUAGAAUACUAGAGACCUGUGUCCGCAAAGCCCACAGAAAACAACUAUUUGAACAGUAGGAGCACUAGAAACACCAACAAUGAGGUUUAGGGAACAGUGGGAGGGGACAAUUUGGUACAUUUGCCAUUUUGUCACAAUGGGUGCAAUCUAAAAUACAAUUUUAGACUAGCAGUGUAUAAAAAUACUUUUUAAACAAUACUUUUGGUAGGCAUAAGUAGCACUUUAAAACAAACAGCUAUGUAGUUUUCAGGUCUUUUGAAGGCCUAGAAACAAUUCGAUUUACCACCUUUGGCUAGCUCACAAGAUGUGGGCCUGGAAAGCAAGUUCUCUUGCACAUUAUGUACACAUCCCACAGUCCUACAGUUUCCCCCUUCUGCCUACGGCACACAAUGACCACUGCAAGAGACUUCUGUCUCAGUGUGGAUGUAAAAUGAGGGGGACCUGUUUCCAAUUCCAGGACUGGAUGAACACAAGAAAAAAGCAAAGUGGAAUUCAAGGGUAUAUGGUUCUUAUUUCACUGAAAGGCCCAGCCUGUGAGUUUAGUCUGGCAUAUCAAUGUUUAACUUGGGAGGUGGAGGCACAUAUUUCCCAGGGCUCUGUGUUAUAACUACCCGCGCCUUCUUUCCAAACAUUGGAGCAAUUUUCGGAGCUUCUGACACCGAUGCGUCUUCAGCAUCUUCACUGUCUUCGUGAUGGAGAUCGUAAGAGAUAUUUCCAUAUUCUCUUAAAAACGGAAAAACUUCUAGUAGAAACUGACAGAAAUCCCUGCGAAUCCCAAACCACCAAUGAUUGCCCCCUUUCCGCCUGAACGUUGUAGCCAUCAAAGUCAGUAAUGAGAGCCAAAGCGGGAUGAAAAUGGAAAUGUAAGAGAACGUAUUGUGGUCAUCCAGUCUGUGAACUAGCAGGACCUCAAAAAUGAGCAGGGGCACGACAAUGGUGAUCCAGCUGAUGGCCAUGGUCACAUGUGUUCUUCGCUGCUCUGCAACCACAUCCAGGGACCGCAGGAAUAGGAGGGACCACACGAUGUAAUAGAGAACUACCAGGCAGAGGAAUGACAUGAGGAUCCACAGGGGCACGAACACCACUAGCCACGGCCAGUGGAUAAUCCUGUCCAGCCUCAGGGCGAUGAAGAUGAACUGCAGGAUGUUGACAGAGCACAGGAUCUCCAGUUCCAAAGACCUGUCGUGUCGGAAGCCCCAGACACAGGCGGCCACGGACACAGGGGAAACGAAGAAGAGUGGCAUGAAGACCAGCAGCCAAAAGUGGGUGCCCCUCUCCACCCUGUCGCAGACUAGUAUCUCAAACAUGAGUAGUAGCAGGUGGAUGCCCACGGCGAUAAGCAUGGCUUUGAAUUCCACGCAGGCUUCCCCCUCUGUACGGUAGCGUGGGUUGCGGGCCCACACGCCCGCACCCACCGAGGCGCCCACGAUGACCAGGAGCUUCCACAGCCAGAUGGGGGCGAAGACUGCCCAGUAGCUCCACUGGAUGAUGCCGUCCAGGCGCAGGGGCAGCAGCACGGAGAAGAGUAGCAAGCAGGCAUAAAUGAGGAACUUACUGGGGUUGAAGUCCUGGAACAGGCCCCUGGGGUUCAUGGCGAAGGCUGUACUGCCUCUAGAUGGGCAUCCGCCCGCUGCGUGUUAGAGGCUCCAGACCGCAGCUCCGAGGGGCCGGAACACGUGCGAGCAGUCACGUGGCCCGGCCGGAAGCGAGCCGAGGGCACAGCGUGCGCUGGCCGCGAACGCCACGAGGCCGACGCCGCGUUGCGUGCGGAGUCGGAUGGGACCUGGCGCGCUGCGGACUCGGCGACCCGCAGACCCGCUGCCUGUGAGCUGGCCGAGACCUUCGG